CAACGGCGUCUAGGUCUGCUCGGAGAAUCGAUUAUUUCGGAGAGAAAGCCAAGCCUCUCUUCGACGAGAAACCGGAGGGUAGUUUGUUAUGGAGGGUCGCACGGGCAGCGUUCGCGGGGUUUCCUCCUGUUCCUCGAGCACCUCGAUUCCUCAGAGCACCGUCGCAGCUCAGGAUGCGAAGCGGAGUUCGGGAGGUAACAUCGAACUCUCGGUGCAAGGCGCGGCUGAGGACAAGAACAGUCCGUCGAGGGUGCCGAGGAAAUUCAUCGCCAACUGGAGACAGGCGUGCGACCGUACGAGAGACAGGACGAAGGAACUCUUGAAGAGAUGGAGAACGGUGCCCGGGCAGGAAGGUGAAUUCGUCAACGUCGAUACCCCCGUCAAAGAGCUCGACCAUCCCGGAUGGAGCGUUCACGUCUGGACUACCUGGGUGAGUAGAUUCCCCAGCGACGAGAGCCUGACGACGAAUGAAAUACCGACCAGAGACAUAGGAGCUAUCCAAUGGCUUGCCCCGUCUCAGCGUGACAAGCUCUCGCACUUUUUUACCUAUCUGUUGGACCAUCGUAGGGACGGAAUCAUCACCAAGAAGGAUUUCGAGCUGUUGUCCGAGCGUUUGAGGAGGUUCGCGGACUGGUCGAAAAACAGCCCCGAGUAUCUGCGGCUGAUGGAGAUCGAACGGGGCUUGGUCGAAGCGAUCGUGGAUCGGAGUGGGAUGCGGGGGGAGAAUGACCUGAGCCAGGUGGAUCUGGACGAGUGGCUCAAUUGGUGGGCACGUCGGAUCGCGGCGCCGAGUGGGAUCAGCUUUCGGGAGCUCCCUCUCUGGGUCAAGGCCUUUCCCCGGGUUCUUUUCCUCGCGAUAAACGCUUCGGGAACCGGCCGAAUCACAAAGGACGAGUUAGCCGCUUUUUACAGCUUCGUCAUCGGCUUUGACUCCGAUCGGAUAAAAAAUUGCAUUGAUGUGGCGUACCGCUCGAUGACUUCGAACGGAGACCACCCCCUAGGUUGGUCCCAGUAUCAGCUGGUAUUCGCCAACUUCCUCUUCGGUCGGGGUCCCUUCGGCCCCGGGGAACACCUCCUCGGGAUGACGGAAAGCUGCUUCCUUCGCGGCGACUCCAUCACUUUCCCGAUCGAUUACUCCGCCAUGAACACCCCCGUCGACAAAAUGGAAGUCUACAAUCCUAAUAAUAAAACAAACCGACGUAGCGUCGUCGUUUAAGACUAUUCAAAAUUCUCGUUGCGAUCCAUUCCGGACCGGAGAAGUGUAGUUUUCUUGCGACCAUAACUAUCACUCCCUCUAUGCAACAUCUUCACGCUUCUAAUAGAGCGAGAGUGGUGCGUACGAAUGUCAAGUAGUAACGGUCACUGUCGGGUCAGACGCCAUUUUAUCUUCGAGAUUUCCGUUGUCAUCCGUCCGGGACCGAAAGAGUAUAGUUUUCCGAUGAACGUGAUUUCCACUCAUUCCAACGCUAUGCAACAUUUUCACGCCUCUAAUAAAACGAGAGCGGUACCAUAGAUGCCUUCGUUACGUCGGAAGCGAAUACGGCGCAAUUGAUUCUUUUUUUGUCCAGCGCACGACCGACGUCCUCGAUCUUAUUCCCGUUUCCUCGGUAUCGACCGUGUGUAUAUUUUUUGGCCCAUCCACCGCCACAACGAUGACAUC
rnacentral:misc_RNA from 1 species